AUUGAACGCUAGCGGGAUGCCUUACACAUGCAAGUCGAACGGAGUGGCGAACGGGUGAGUAUUGUAUCGGAACGUGCCCAGUCGCGGGGGCUAACUAUGCGAACGCGUCGCUACUCCAGCAUACUCUUGGUAUGGCAGAUAGCGGGAUAGCUCGUUGGGGGGGUAACGGCACACCCAGGCUACGAUCCGUAGCUGGUUUGAGAGGACGACCAGCCAAACUGGGACUGAGACACGGCCCAGACUCCUACGGGAGGCAGCAGUGGGGAAUUUUGGACAAUGGGGGAAACCCUGAUCCAGCCAUCCCGCGUGUGCGAUGAAGGCCUUCGGGUUGUAAAGCACUUUUGGCAGGAAAGCGGUACCUGCAGAAUAAGCACCGGCUAACUACGUGCCAGCAGCCGCGGUAAUAC
rnacentral:rRNA from 1 species